UCGCCUGUUUUUUCAAAAACAUCGCCGGGGUAAACCCCGGUAAAUUCUGCCCAGUGAUCUUCAACGGCCGCAGUACUCUGACUGUGCUAAGGUAGCGUAAUCAUUAGCCUCUUAAUUGGAGGCCUGUAUGAACGAAACUACGAGAACGCUUCUGUCUCAGUUUAACUGAAAUUUACUCCGAAAGUAAAAAAGCUUUCAUUUCUCAGAAGGACGACAAGACCCUGUAAAGCUUGACUCGAAUACGGUCCCUUCUCUAAGAGAAAUACUAACCCCCUACGAGUUUUACUGGGGCGGUAAGAGAUAAUCCAAACAUUUCUCACUCUAACAAUCUCCCUGGCCUUCACAAACUAUGAACGAAACAAGACCAAGUUACUUCAGGGAUAACAGCGUGAUGGAUUUUUAGAGCCCUUAUCGACAAAUCCGCUUACGACCUCGAUGUUGAAUUGAAGAUUCUUGCCGGAGCAGGAUCCCGCUUAGAAAGUCUGUUCGACUUUUAAACCUUUACAUGAUUUGAGUUCCAAACCGGA
rnacentral:rRNA from 1 species